rnacentral:rRNA from 1 species
GUCCGCCAGAGAAUUACAAGCACACCGCUUCAAACCCAAAGGACUUGACGGUGUCCCACACCAGCCUAGAGGAGCCUGUCACACAAUCGAUACUCCACGUUCAACCUCUCCCCCCCUUGCACCCCAGCCUAUAUACCGCCGUCGCCAGUCCGCCUGCUGACAGCACACCACUACAGCCGACAAAAUAGUUUAUCACAAAAACGUCAGGUCAAGGUGUAGCUGAUGGGGGGGGCCCUGAUGGGCUACAUUUCCCAAAAUGAGAAUUACCAACACCACCAUGAAAUAUUGGUCAAAAGACGGAUUUAGCAGUAAGCACGAACAAGACCUGUCAUCCUGAA